ACGUAGGGACCAAGCGUUGUUCGGAUUUACUGGGCGUAAAGGGCGCGUAGGCGGCAAUUCAAGUCAUCUGUGAAAUCUCCGGGCUUAACCCGGAACGGUCAGAUGAUACUGCUUUGCUAGAGUGCGGAAGGGGCAAUCGGAAUUCUUGGUGUAGCGGUGAAAUGCGUAGAUAUCCGGAGGAACACCGGUGGCGAAGGCGGCUUCCUGGACCGACACUGACGCUGAGGCGCGAAAGCUAGGGGAGCAAACGGGA
rnacentral:rRNA from 1 species